rnacentral:rRNA from 1 species
GACGAACGCUGGCGGCGUGCUUAACACAUGCAAGUCGAACGAUGAAGGAGGAGCUUGCUCCUUUGGAUUAGUGGCGAACGGGUGAGUAACACGUGAGCAAUCUGCCCUUGACUCUGGGAUAAGCGCUGGAAACGGCGUCUAAUACCGGAUGCGACCCUCGGAGGCAUCUCCUGUGGGUGGAAAGAACUUCGGUCAAGGAUGAGCUCGCGGCCUAUCAGCUUGUUGGUGAGGUAAUGGCUCACCAAGGCGACGACGGGUAGCCGGCCUGAGAGGGUGACCGGCCACACUGGGACUGAGACACGGCCCAGACUCCUACGGGAGGCAGCAGUGGGGAAUAUUGCACAAUGGGCGCAAGCCUGAUGCAGCAACGCCGCGUGAGGGACGACGGCCUUCGGGUUGUAAACCUCUUUUAGCAGGGAAGAAGCGAGAGUGACGGUACCUGCAGAAAAAGCACCGGCUAACUACGUGCCAGCCGCCGCCGUAAAAC